CCUACGGGGUGCAGCAGUGGGGAAUUUUGGACAAUGGGGGCAACCCUGAUCCAGCCAUGCCGCGUGAGUGAAGAAGGCCUUCGGGUUGUAAAGCUCUUUCGGCCGGGAAGAAAUCGCUCAAGCUAAUACCUUGGGUGGAUGACGGUACCGGAAGAAGAAGCACCGGCUAACUACGUGCCAGCAGCCGCGGUAAUACGUAGGGUGCGAACGUUAAUCGGAAUGACUGGGGGCGAAGCGUGCACAGACGGCGGAAAUCCCCGGGCUUAACCUGGGAACUGCGUUUGUGACUGUGGUGCUCGAGUGCGGCAGAGGGGGGUGGAAUUCCACGUGUAGCAGUGAAAUGCGUAGAGAUGUGGAGGAACACCGAUGGCGAAGGCAGCCCCCUGGGUCGACACUGACGCUCAUGCACGAAAGCGUGGGGAGCAAACAGGAUUAGAUACCCUUGUAGUC
rnacentral:rRNA from 1 species